AACGCACCUUGCGCUCCUUGGUAUUCCGAGGAGCAUGCCUGUUUGAGUGUCAUUAAAUUCUCAACCUUUAUCUGCUUUUGCGAGCAUGGUAAUGGCUUGGAUUUGGGGGUUCAUUUGCUGGUUUUGCAAAAAAUCUGCUCCCCUUAAAGGUAUUAGCCGGUGCUCCCGCGUUGGACCCGUCUAUUGGUGUGAUAAUUAUCUACGCCGUUAGACGUCCACAAUUAAUGGUUGCGCUGCUUCUAACCGUCCUUCUGGGACAAUUAAUGACUAUUUGACCUCAAAUCAGGUAGGACUACCCGCUGAACUUAA
rnacentral:misc_RNA from 1 species